GAUUUAUUGGGUUUAAAGGGUGCGCAGGCGGGCUUUUAAGUCAGCGGUGAAAUUUCCAGGCUCAACCUGGGCACUGCCGUUGAAACUGGGGGUCUUGAGUACAGAUGAAGUAGGCGGAAUUCGUUGUGUAGCGGUGACAUGCUUAGAUAUAACGAGGAACUCCGAUUGCGUAGGCAGCUUACUAAACUGUUACUGACGCUCAAGCACGAAAGCGUGGGGAUCAAACAGGAUUAGAUACCCUGGUAGUCCACGCCGUAAACGAUGAUUACUAGUUGUAUGCGAUAUACCGUAUGUGACUAAGCGAAAGCGAUAAGUAAUCCACCUGGGGAGUACGCUGGCAACAGUGAAACUCAAAGGAAUUGACGGGGGCCCGCACAAGCGGAGGAACAUGUGGUUUAAUUCGAUGAUACGCGAGGAACCUUACCCGGGCUUGAAAUGCAUACGACGGACCUUGAAAGGGGUUUUCUAGCAAUAGCGUAUGUGUAGGUGCUGCAUGGUUGUCGUCAGCUCGUGCCGUGAGGUGUCGGCUUAAGUGCCAUAACGAGCGCAACCCACAUCAUUAGUUACUAACAGGUUAAGCUGAGGACUCUAAUGAGACUGCCGUCGUAAGAUGCGAGGAAGGUGUGGAUGACGUCAAAUCAGCACGGCCCUUACGUCCGGGGCGACACACGUGUUACAAUGGGAGGUACAAAGGGCAGCUACUUGGCGACAAGAUGCCAAUCCCCAAAGCCUCUCCCAGUUCGGAUCGGAGUCUGCAACUCGACUCCGUGAAGCUGGAUUCGCUAGUAAUCGCGCAUCAGCCAUGGCGCGGUGAAUACGUUCCCGGGCAUUGUACACA
rnacentral:rRNA from 1 species